GGCGCUAUAGCCAAGUGGUUACGGCGACAGAUUAGAAUUUCCUUAUCUCUAAGUAGUUCUCAUCUGUUCCUCUUUGAGGGCGCAGGUUCGAAUCCUGCUGGCGUCG
rnacentral:tRNA from 1 species